UUAACACAUGCAAGUCGAGGGGCAGCAUGGUCUUAGCUUGCUAAGGCCGAUGGCGACCGGCGCACGGGUGAGUAACACGUAUCCAACCUGCCGUCUACUCUUGGACAGCCUUCUGAAAGGAAGAUUAAUACAAGAUGGCAUCAUGAGUCCGCAUGUUCACAUGAUUAAAGGUAUUCCGGUAGACGAUGGGGAUGCGUUCCAUUAGAUAGUAGGCGGGGUAACGGCCCACCUAGUCUUCGAUGGAUAGGGGUUCUGAGAGGAAGGUCCCCCACAUUGGAACUGAGACACGGUCCAAACUCCUACGGGAGGCAGCAGUGAGGAAUAUUGGUCAAUGGGCGAGAGCCUGAACCAGCCAAGUAGCGUGAAGGAUGACUGCCCUAUGGGUUGUAAACUUCUUUUAUAAAGGAAUAAAGUCGGGUAUGGAUACCCGUUUGCAUGUACUUUAUGAAUAAGGAUCGGCUAACUCCGUGCCAGCAGCCGCGGUAAUACGGAGGAUCCGAGCGUUAUCCGGAUUUAUUGGGUUUAAAGGGAGCGUAGAUGGAUGUUUAAGUCAGUUGUGAAAGUUUGCGGCUCAACCGUAAAAUUGCAGUUGAUACUGGAUAUCUUGAGUGCAGUUGAGGCAGGCGGAAUUCGUGGUGUAGCGGUGAAAUGCUUAGAUAUCACGAAGAACUCCGAUUGCGAAGGCAGCCUGCUAAGCUGCAACUGACAUUGAGGCUCGAAAGUGUGGGUAUCAAACAGGAUUAGAUACCCUGGUAGUCCACACGGUAAACGAUGAAUACUCGCUGUUUGCGAUAUACUGCAAGCGGCCAAGCGAAAGCGUUAAGUAUUCCACCUGGGGAGUACGCCGGCAACGGUGAAACUCAAAGGAAUUGACGGGGGCCCGCACAAGCGGAGGAACAUGUGGUUUAAUUCGAUGAUACGCGAGGAACCUUACCCGGGCUUAAAUUGCAGAUGAAUUACGGUGAAAGCCGUAAGCCGCAAGGCAUCUGUGAAGGUGCUGCAUGGUUGUCGUCAGCUCGUGCCGUGAGGUGUCGGCUUAAGUGCCAUAACGAGCGCAACCCUUGUUGUCAGUUACUAACAGGUUCCGCUGAGGACUCUGACAAGACUGCCAUCGUAAGAUGUGAGGAAGGUGGGGAUGACGUCAAAUCAGCACGGCCCUUACGUCCGGGGCUACACACGUGUUACAAUGGGGGGUACAGAGGGUCGCUACCACGCGAGUGGAUGCCAAUCCCCAAAACCUCUCUCAGUUCGGACUGGAGUCUGCAACCCGACUCCACGAAGCUGGAUUCGCUAGUAAUCGCGCAUCAGCCACGGCGCGGUGAAUACGUUCCCGGGCCUUGUACACACCGCCCGUCAAGCCAUGGGAGCCGGGGGUACCUGAAGUGCGUAACCGCGAGGAGCGCCCUAGGGUAAAACUGGUGACUGGGGCUAAGUCA
rnacentral:rRNA from 1 species